rnacentral:rRNA from 1 species
UACGAAGGGGGCUAGCGUUGCUCGGAAUCACUGGGCGUAAAGGGCGCGUAGGCGGCCCUGUUGGUCGGGCGUGAAAUCCCCGGGCUCAACCCGGGGGCUGCGCCCGAAACGGCGGGGCUUGAGGCAAGGAGAGGCUCGCGGAAUUCCCAGUGUAGAGGUGAAAUUCGUAGAUAUUGGGAAGAACACCGGUGGCGAAGGCGGCGAGCUGGCCUUGAACUGACGCUGAGGCGCGACAGCGUGGGGAGCAAAUAGG